GAUGAACGCUGGCGGCGUGCCUAAUACAUGCAAGUCGAGCGAACAGACGAGGAGCUUGCUCCUCUGACGUUAGCGGCGGACGGGUGAGUAACACGUGGAUAACCUACCUAUAAGACUGGGAUCACUUCGGGAAACCGGAGCUAAUACCGGAUAACAUGUUGAACCGCAUGGUUCAACAGUUAAAUACGGUUUUGCUGUCACUUAUAGCUGGUUCCGCGUCGCAUUAGCUAGUUGGUAAGGUAACGGCUUACCAAGGCAACGAUGCGUAGCCGACCUGAGAGGGUGAUCGGCCACACUGGAACUGAGACACGGUCCAGACUCCUACGGGAGGCAGCAGUAGGGAAUCUUCCGCAAUGGGCGAAAGCCUGACGGAGCAACGCCGCGUGAGUGAAGAAGGUCUUCGGAUCGUAAAACUCUGUUAUUAGGGAAGAACAAAUGUGGAAGUAACUAUGCACGUCUUGACGGUACCUAAUCAGAAAGCCACGGCUAACUACGUG
rnacentral:rRNA from 1 species